UACGAAGGGGGCUAGCGUUGCUCGGAAUCACUGGGCGCAAAGCGCACGUAGGCGGCUUUUUAAGUCAGGGGUGAAAUCCUGGAGCUCAACUCCAGAACUGCCUUUGAUACUGAGAAGCUUGAGUCCGGGAGAGGUGAGUGGAACUGCGAGUGUAGAGGUGAAAUUCGUAGAUAUUCGCAAGAAUACCAGUGGCGAAGGCGGCUCACUGGCCCGGUACUGACGCUGAGGUGCGAAAGCGUGGGGAGCAAACAGG
rnacentral:rRNA from 1 species